GAGACUCAACCUUACUCCUUUUCAAACCAUUGCUAAAGAGCAAGAAUUUUAAGUAUAUGAGCUGAAUUAUCAUUUCGACAACUACAGUCAUGAUAAUUGCCAACUAUCAUAUGGGAUGGUUCUAUGCAACCUUAGUGAAUUUCAAACCAUCUAAUUCAUCUACAGAGAAACAUGGUCUACUGGCAAAAAUGUAAACCAAAAUAAAUGAAACAAUCUAUUCAUUGGGAACCUACAUUAAAAAGUAUACAAAAUUAAGUAUUUUCAAAAAUUCCUUAAAUACACCAAUCACACUAUUUUCAUGUCUCUAGUAACUAAAAACCAUCUAAAUCAUUUUGACUUAGCUCCCACAGAGAGAUGCCCAAAAUAUCUAGCUGGCGGUCCUCAUGAGUUUAAAUAGGGUAAGACGGGGAAAAAGUGGAAUGAAAGAUUGGAAAAUGUGAUAUUCUUAAGGGACAGACUAGGACAGAGUUUGAAAAGUUAUUUUGUUUCUUUCGAUAUUGUUCUUCAAGAAAAAAAAUAUUUCCUAGUUAUAGUUUCUAUGUUAGUUAUAGUUUCUAUGCUCUAACUUUCUGUACUAUGAAUCAGAAAAGCUACAAGUCUAAUGGUUCUAGCUUAUGAAAUGAAACAGUAUUUAUAUGUACCACGAUCUGUAAAUCAUCAAUCCUACAUUUAACAAACUCUCUCUGAACUCCUCUGAACUAAACUAUAAAAAACUCUCAAAGGGUCAUUAGUCCAACACCCUGCCUUUAACAAGUAAACUUCUAGUCAUCUAGCUAAGAUGCCUGUUCCUCUUUACUUAAAAAUCUCCAGAAGAUGGAGAAUGUUUACUUAGUUUUUGUUAUUUUGACAAUCAGUCAGUAGAAAGAGAAAAGAGGAAAGAAGCAACUUGGAAAAUAGAAACAUCUAUUGUUUGGGCUAGUGAAUGAGAAAAGUUAGAUGACUCCAGAGAGACUGAUUAUAUUCUAAAGAAAGGGAGGAAGAGCUUUAGGAAUCAUGAAAGACGUCGCAGGACAGCAGAAGAACAAGAAGAAAUAAAGGAAAUUGAGAAAAAUAGCAAAACAUCGCAAGCCCAACUUCAACUCCCCUAGUGGGGCAAGGGGAGUAAAUGAAAGACAAGAGCAACACAGGUAAGGUGAAGGGUCUUGGCAACAGAACCACAUUUCCAGCUGCAGAAUAAGUCCAUAGCACCCACAAGAUGUAAACCCCCACUAUCUGAGGGAACAAGGGACUGGGGAGAAAAAGAGAAUGGUGAAAGGUGAAUAAUAUCCAAAUACAUGGUAUCUGUAAUGAAGAUGGUAUAAGAAAACUCACUGGAAUCUCUGGAAAAUAGGAAGGAGAGGGGACAGAGUAAAGACUACAGCAGAUGAGGUUAAUCUGAUCAAGGCACAAUAUCUGCCUGUGUGGAAUACCAUGAUCAAUUCCCUUUGUAAAAUUAAUACACUGGUUUAUUUUUUAAAAGACUACUUACAUCUUUAAAAAGUAAUAAAAAUAGAAGUACUAUAGGAUCCAGCAAUCAACAACACAUCCAAAGGAAAUGAAAUCAAAGAAACACUUCACUCCCAUGCAUUUUGAAAUACUAUUCAAAAGAUACAGAAUCAAUGUAACACUUGAACAAGUCCUGCCAAAAGAAUGUGUUAGAUACAUUGGACUUUAGGUAGAAUGUAGCCAUGGUGGGAGAUGGCCCAUGAGACCAUGAGGGUACUGGGACCAUACUUUAGCACAGGAGUAAAUUUGUUCUACAAGGGCAAGUUUGCCCACAACCUUUCACCCACCCUCUUACUCUCUGAUGCGCUUUCCUUUUCUAUCAUGGAGUGCUAUUACAAGAGGGGCCAGAAUAAACAGAUGCUGAUAACAUGAACGUGGACUUUCCAGUCUCCAGAACCAUAAACCAAUAAAUUUUGUUCAUUAUAAAUUACUUA